rnacentral:lncRNA from 1 species
UCUUGUUGAAGAUACUGGAAAAAUUUGAAGAUUUCUGAAAUUUUGCCCAAACUAUGGGGAUUUUUUCUCGUUUACCUCUACAACAAAUUAUGGUAGCUAGUGUUCUCGGUGUGUUAAGUGGAUUGUACAUAUUUGCCCCAGGAAUUAUUGAAUUUUCAAGCCAAAUACAGAAGAAAAAUAUGGACGAAAGUGUACAGGAUCAAAUUCAAGAUGGUGGGCAAGCAGCUCUGGAGAACAAGGCAGAAAAUGUAUAGAUGAUGGUGAAUUAUGAAAAACUAACAUGGAUUAUUGAGAACUGAGAGGUGGGCUAAACGGUAGUUUAGUGGACAUCUAUGUGUCGUUGAAAGUAGUUGUGCAGACUGCAGGGUCUGAAAUUUGCAGUAUAACGAUAUCUCCAGGACACCAAAAAUUUGGUUUUGGAUUCCAAACUGUGAAUGACUUUUAUCCCAACCGGAUACUAAGAAAUUUUCAAACAUUAAGAAAAUGUUAAACACCUUUGACGGGCUUUUGAAAAAUAUCAGUUUGCCACCAGACCUUACUGCCUGACUGGAAAGUUUGGAAAAAUUGAUAGUAAUUAUAUAGAAAACAUCGGAGUUGUGCGCUGGAGAUAUCCGCCGCGCAAUACAAACUUUCCACACUGGCCUCAUCAAGACUAUACCAGUAGAUGCAUGGGCAGUUUGUUCGGUUAAAUACAGCCUGUGAUAAUUUGGAGCAUUUGCUUGUCAAUCCCCAGCAGUAUUACCCAAGUCUGAGUAGUUGAUUCUGGUCACAACUGAUUGAACGUAAUGGAUUCCGAUUGGCUUAUAUAGAGUGUAUAAAAAAAAGGUAAUCGAACUUCAGCGUGCUAUUAUACAUGAAUUACUCGGCGUAUGAACAAUUGGUUUUCAUAUUCGGAAAGAUCAGGCUUUUAGCUAUUGAGUGACAUGUUUUUCAUGCCAAGUGGAGAAAAAAUAAGCAUGUACGAGGCCGAUUAAAAAUGUUAGUCAAAAUUGCAUAUUUUCACCUCUGUGCCUAAUUAAAACAAUGCAUAACAAAAGAAAAAGCAAUUAAUCACAAACACGUUGUAGCUUAGCUAAGAUUUAUUCAUAUACUUAAUAAUUAUGAAUAUGUGCGUCGUUUAUUGAAGUGAAAUUCAUCAACUUAAGUACCCAAAGGGGGUUCAUUUUCAAUGGUUUUAGGGGCUGUUUACGAUUAGGGCCUGUUUACGAGGCCUGUUUACGAACAAAUGAAAUGCAACAACGAGUUAAAAUAACGGCAAUUGCAGAGUGUGAUAUGAUUUGUUUACGUUAGCCAGAUCUUUGUUGACGUUUGAAGUUAGCCAAUCAGGAUCUGCUGAACUUAACUAUGACCAAUCAUGUAACUGCCCAGAUCUAGUUAUAGCGCAGCCGGGGGUUGACAAGCAAAUUUUCACAGACUAUAUUCCAGCGUAAUACAGUCAGUACACAGACUAGUUAUUGAUAGCAUACUGGAAUUUGGUAUUGGAUAAAUGUUUUGAAAUCAUCACAUGCUUCCAAGCCCACAGAAAUUCUAUCAUGUAAAUAAACAACAUGAAAAUGUAUAUUUUCUGAACUCUUAUUAUACACUCAGUUCUUAUUUAUUUUCAAGUACAGAAGACAAAGAUUAACCCAUUUAAAGGUGCAGAGCUUCCCCAGUGACGAUUAAAAUCGUCUGGCAUAAGACAAGUAAAAAAAAGUAGGGCACACUGCGGCUUAUUUAAAUGGAUGAAAUAAAAAUUAUUUACAGUUUUUACAGGUGUCAAUUGAAAAUUAAAUGUCAGAUAAUUACUCUUGAUCACACAGGUACAAAUUGAAUGAAUAGAUUAAUGCAACGUUUCUUGUCAUUGUGUACUUGUAAAAUUGACUAAACUGAU